rnacentral:rRNA from 1 species
GAUGAACGCUGGCGGCGUGCCUAAUACAUGCAAGUCGAGCGAACAGACGAGGAGCUUGCUCCUCUGACGUUAGCGGCGGACGGGUGAGUAACACGUGGAUAACCUACCUAUAAGACUGGGAUAACUUCGGGAAACCGGAGCUAAUACCGGAUAAUAUAUUGAACCGCAUGGUUCAAUAGUUAAAGACGGUUUUGCUGUCACUUAUAGAUGGAUCCGCGCCGCAUUAGCUAGUUGGUAAGGUAACGGCUUACCAAGGCAACGAUGCGUAGCCGACCUGAGAGGGUGAUCGGCCACACUGGAACUGAGACACGGUCCAGACUCCUACGGGAGGCAGCAGUAGGGAAUCUUCCGCAAUGGGCGCAAGCCUGACGGAGCAACGCCGCGUGAGUGAUGAAGGUCUUCGGAUCGUAAAACUCUGUUAUUAGGGAAGAAAAAAUGUGUAAGUAAAUAUGCACGUCUUGACGGUACCUAAUCAGAAAGCCACGGCUAACUACGUG